AAAGCUUCUUGGUGUUUUGUUGUGUGUCGCUGUGUGGGUGAGGUGUCAACUUCCACCCCCAAGACGGCGCAAAUCCCCAAAUCAUUAAGGUAAAUUUAAAUAAUUAAUUAAUUCAUCGUGCAUGUUUUUUUCUUCCAUUUUUCUAAAGAAUCCAAUGUUUUUUCUUCCGUGUGAAUUCUUAAAAAAUAGGGUGUCUAUUGUAAUUUUCCCUGAUUGGAUCCAGAUGUAAAGACAAUAGAAUAUGUACUUGAGUCGUAACAUACAUGUGUGGAUACAGUCUAUACCUGACAGUAACUACUAAGUUCAUUUCUUAAACGCAUCUCUGGCCGAUCUUCGGUUGAGGUAUGGACUUCAGUUGUCACUCUUUACUUGUGCCUAUAUUGUAAUUUUAAUGAGACAAAAAAAUCAUGACUAUUAGGUCGAUAUUUCGUCGUAUAUCAGUUAAUGUCUUUUGCUGUACAUUUUUUUCAUCGUAUUAAUGUCUUAUACAGUACAUUAUUGUAGUGGUUAGAUUAAAAAUUAAAAGACAGACUGCACACGACGUAUUUUGACGCACCGACGUACGGCGCAUUUGAAAAUUAUCGUUAUAAUUUAUGAGAUAUUGACCUCACCAUUCGUUUUUUAUCCAACCAUCAUAAUAGAUAAUGAUAUAACAUGAAUAUCUUAAUUCCAGGUGACGUGGACAUUACGAAUCCGUGGUCCAUCCACAGCCAAUUUCAGCUGCGGACGUUCGUAAGUGAAGCUGGCUGUAAAUAAAUAAUGUUAUCUGAUCUGUCGGCUUUUUUUAAUCGAAAAAAGUUG
rnacentral:lncRNA from 1 species